ACAAAGACGAACCCUGAAUUUCCGUGUCUAACUUUAACUAUCCGUCUUAUAUGAAUUUUUUUAUAAUUUGUAUUUUUAUUGUUGUUAGAUGAUAAAACAUGAUUAAUAUUUUAUGCGUGACUUAUCUUUUUAAUUUUUUUCAUAAUUUUUUCAAAUAAAACGGACGGUCAAACUUUGGGCACGAAAACCAGGGUUUGUCUUUUU
rfam:Oryza glumipatula chromosome 2, whole genome shotgun sequence.